rnacentral:rRNA from 1 species
GACAGAGGGGGCAAGCGUUAUUCGGAAUUAUUGGGCGUAAAGGGCGCGUAGGCGGUUUCUUAAGUCAGAUGUGUAAUCCCCGAGCUUAACUUGGGCACUGCAUCUGAGACUGGGAGGCUAGAGUACUGGAGAGGGUGGUGGAAUUCCUCGUGUAGCGGUGAAAUGCGUAGAGAUGAGGAGGAACACCAGUGGCGAAGGCGGCCACCUGGACAGUAACUGACGCUGAGGCGCGAAAGUGUGGGUAGCAAACACG